CCCUUAGAUGCUCUGGGCCGCACGCGCGCUACACUGGUCGAUGCAACGAGUUUCUUUCCUUGGCCGACAGGCCUGGGCAAUCUUUGAACAUCGAUCGUGAUCGGGAUAGACCUUUGCAAUUAUGGGUCUUCAACGAGGAAUUCCUAGUAAACGCAAGUCAUCAGCUUGCAUUGAUUACGUCCCUGCCCUUUGUACACACCGCCCGUCGCACCUACCGAUUGAAUGGUCCGGUGAAAUCUCGGGACGGCGGCUUGGUCGCUUGCGUCCGACUGCUGAAACUUGAUUAAACCAUAUCAUUUAGAGGAAGGUGAAGUCGUAACA
rnacentral:rRNA from 1 species